CGGUCUCUGCUCGCCUCAGAGGCUUCAGCCCGGCCUGUCGUCCCGCAGACGUGACUGGUGCCCGCCGCGUCGGGAGCCCCGCCGAGCGCACGCGCCUGGGCGUCAGCUGGAGCACCCACGGUGAGGUUGAGGGACUCAUUUCAAACCAUGCUGAGAAGGUUUGUGCUGGCAGCUAAGCCCAGGCUUGGUGGUGUGAGACUUCAAAACAGGAGCCGAGGAAAGGAGAAAUUCAACCCAGAAUUUGAGUUACUCGCCUGUCUAAACAGAAAACCGGACAACCAGACCGACUGCCCCAACCACCUGAAAUCCGCGUCCUUGACCCAAACAAAGACAGGACCUCACAGAAGCGAACUGCAGUGUCCCAAAGCGAACAGCAGAGGGAGACAGAGGUACAAGAAGCUCUGGAUCAGGUUUUGCCAGCACGUCUAUAUUCCCUGGUGCCCUAGGAAGCCAGAAGAGGGCAUCAGAUCCCCUGAGACUGGAGUUAUAGACUGGAGCCUCUGGUUCUGCCACCAUGACACGUCGGGUUCUGUUUCACUGAUGGAUUUUUCUACUUGUUGUGGAUCAUGACUGCCUGUGCCUUGGUGUGCCGGGACUCUUUAGUCAUAUGCAGACAUUGUGAAGUUUUUCUCUACUGGUUAUCACGGUCCUGACUCUCGCCUCCAUCCUGGGAUUUGGCCUCAGACCCCUUUGGUGUGUGGGCACUAUCUGAAAGCAGUGAGCCAAGCCAUGGCUGGACUGCCUUAUUCCGUCUCACUUCCAGGGCUUCCCUGAUUCCCAGGGUCUGGCAACCUGGCAUCUCACGGGUUUUGUCUGCUUCUUGUCCUGUGUGGGGAAGGGAGAAUUCAUACAGGAGAUUACAUCAGGUUUCUGUUCUUCCCUUGAAAGGACAACAUAAAAUCCAUUUGUCUUCAUUUAAGGACCAGGAUUGAUUUAGAAAAGAAAGCCGUAAGACACCAGCUCCAGGAACAGACCAUAAAAUCCAGGAGCAAGGUCAUCAAACCCCCUCCCAAGAACAGCCUGGGGAUAACCACAAAAAUGGGAAAAUAUCUCAGGGUGAGCCAUCUGUGCUGGGCAGCCCUAUCCCAUCUCAUGGUUAAACAUUCAUGACAUAGGAAUACAGACCACUGACCACCUGUGACCACCUAGCACCCACCAA
rnacentral:lncRNA from 1 species